rnacentral:tRNA from 1 species
GCGUUCGUAGACGAGUGGUCAAGUCGUCAGUCUGUGACACUGAAGAACGCGGGUUCAAAUCCCGCCGGGCGCCCCA